AACGAACGCUGGCGGCAUGCCUAACACAUGCAAGUCGAACGAGACCUUCGGGUCUAGUGGCGCACGGGUGCGUAACGCGUGGGAACCUGCCCUUAGGUUCGGAAUAACUCCCCGAAAGGGGUGCUAAUACCGGAUAAUGUCUUCGGACCAAAGAUUUAUCGCCUUUGGAUGGGCCCGCGUUGGAUUAGCUAGUUGGUAGGGUAAAAGCCUACCAAGGCGACGAUCCAUAGCUGGUCUGAGAGGAUGAUCAGCCACACUGGGACUGAGACACGGCCCAGACUCCUACGGGAGGCAGCAGUGGGGAAUAUUGGACGAUGGGCGCAAGCCUGGUCCAGCAAUGCCGCGUGAGUGAUGAAGGCCUUAGGGUUGUAAAGCUCUUUUACCCGGGAUGAUAAUGACAGUACCGGGAGAAUAAGCUCCGGCUAACUCCGUG
rnacentral:rRNA from 1 species